rnacentral:rRNA from 1 species
GAUGAACGCUAGCGACAGGCUUAACACAUGCAAGUCGAGGGGCAGCAUAAAAGUAGCAAUACUUUGGUGGCGACCGGCGCACGGGUGAGUAACGCGUAUGCAACCUACCUAUCAGAGGGGAAUAACCCGGCGAAAGUCGGACUAAUACCGCAUAAAACAGGGGCACCGCAUGGUGAUAUUUGUUACAGAGAUACGCUGAUAGAUGGGCAUGCGUUCCAUUAGGUAGUUGGUGAGGUAACGGCUCACCAAGCCGACGAUGGAUAGGGGAACUGAGAGGUUGGUCCCCCACGCUGGUACUGAGACACGGACCAGACUCCUACGGGAGGCAGCAGUGAGGAAUAUUGGUCAAUGGGCGAGAGCCUGAACCAGCCAAGUCGCGUGAAGGAAGAAGGAUCUAUGGUUCGUAAACUUCUUUUGCAGGGGAAUAAAGUGCAGGACGUGUCCUGUUUUGUAUGUACCCUGAGAAUAAGGAUCGGCUAACUCCGUGCCAGCCGCCGCAGUAA